CCCGGUGCCCAUACCCGCGGGGUCCCACCCGAUCCCAUUCCGAACUCGGCCGUUAAGCCCGCGGGGCCGAUGAUACUGUCACAAGCGGGAAAGUAGGUCAGUGCCGGGC
rnacentral:rRNA from 1 species